rnacentral:rRNA from 1 species
UGACAGUACUCUACGGGGAGGCAGCAGUGGGGGAAUAUUGCACAAUGGGCGCAAGCCUGAUGCAGCCAUGCCGCGUGUGUGAAGAAGGACCUUCGGGUUGUAAAGCACUUUCAGUCGUGAGGAAGGUAGUGUAGUUAAUAGCUGCAUUAUUUGACGUUAGCGACAGAAGAAGCACCGGCUAACUCCGUGCCAGCAGCCGCGGUAAUACGGAGGGUGCGAGCGUUAAUCGGAAUUACUGGGCGUAAAGCGCAUGCAGGUGGUUUGUUAAGUCAGAUGUGAAAGCCCGGGGCGUCAACCUCGGAAUAGCAUUUGAAACUGGCAGACUAGAGUACUGUAGAGGGGGGUAGGAAUUUCAGGUGUAGCGGUGAAAUGCGUAGAGAUCUGAAGGAAUACCGGUGGCGAAGGCGGCCCCCUGGACAGAUACUGACACUCAGAUGCGAAAGCGUGGGGAGCAAACAGGAUUAGAUACCCUGGUAG